GAUGAACCCCGGCGGGUGUGCCUUAAUACAUGCAAGUCGAACGCGUGCCCCAAUUGAUUGAUGGUGCUUGCACCUGAUAGAUUUUGGUCGCCAACGAGUGGCGGACGGGUGAGUAACACGUAGGUAACCUGCCCAGAAGCGGGGGACAACAUUUGGAAACAGAUGCUAAUACCGCAUAACAACGUUGUUCGCAUGAACAACGCUUAAAAGAUGGCUUCUCGCUAUCACUUCUGGAUGGACCUGCGGUGCAUUAGCCUGUUGGUGGGGUAAUGGCCUACCAAGGCGAUGAUGCAUAGCCGAGUUGAGAGACUGAUCGGCCACAAUGGGACUGAGACACGGCCCAUACUCCUACGGGAGGCAGCAGUAGGGAAUCUUCCACAAUGGGCGCAAGCCUGAUGGAGCAACACCGCGUGAGUGAAGAAGGGUUUCGGCUCGUAAAGCUCUGUUGUUAAAGAAGAACACGUAUGAGAGUAACUGUUCAUACGUUGACGGUAUUUAACCAGAAAGUCACGGCUA
rnacentral:rRNA from 2 species